rnacentral:rRNA from 1 species
AGCGAACGCUGGCGGCAGGCCUAACACAUGCAAGUCGAACGAACCUUUCGGGGUUAGUGGCGGACGGGUGAGUAACACGUGGGAACGUGCCUUUAGGUUCGGAAUAACUCAGGGAAACUUGUGCUAAUACCGAAUGUGCCCUUCGGGGGAAAGAUUUAUCGCCUUUAGAGCGGCCCGCGUCUGAUUAGCUAGUUGGUUGAGGUAAUGGCUCACCAAGGCGACGAUCAGUAGCUGGUCUGAGAGGAUGAUCAGCCACAUUGGGAUUGAGACACGGCCCAAACUCCUACGGGAGGCAGCAGUGGGGAAUCUUGCGCAAUGGGCGAAAGCCUGACGCAGCCAUGCCGCGUGAAUGAUGAAGGUCUUAGGAUUGUAAAAUUCUUUCACCGGGGACGAUAAUGACGGUACCCGGAGAAGAAGCCCCGGCUAACUUCGUG